rnacentral:lncRNA from 1 species
UUUAAUUGGAGAAAAAGCAAAAAGGAAAUUUGUUUGAGACUUUGUUUGAAAUUUGAGAAUUUGCUUGAAAUUUUUCAGAUAUUUCAUUAGAACAGCACCAAUGAAAAUACUUUCAAUCUUCUUAGAAAAGGCCUUGAGAUACAAAUAUAAACUGCAGGUGGCCCAGAGCUAAAGGACAAGUAAGAAUUGCUUUGGUUUGAUUGAUAGCAUUCUUUGACUGAUGUUCAGAAAUCAUUUACAAAAUAAUGGUCACACACUAUUUCCGCCCAGUUCUCCCAGGACUUUCUUUUCUUUCAUUUUUAGGAGUGAUUUUGAAUACUUAUUUAUUUCUACCAGUAAUUUUGAAGGUAGCACAAAUCUCCUAAUAACCAUGUUUUCCUUUAUUAGUCAUAUAAUAGUACAUUGUAGUUUGUUGAAUAGAAAUUCUUGACAAUAGGAGUGAGGAAUUGUUUACAAAGAAAAUUGGAACCAAGUUUUAACCUUUUUGUUGAAAGACUUUGAAAAAAUGUUGAAGUUCAACACUAGGACAUUGAGCAUACCAUUACACUUCUUAAGGAGCCACCAUUAAUUUCAAAACUAUUAUUUCAGAGGAAGAUGAUUCUAAAAAUUGAGACUUUAUUGGAGAAGACAACCUUUUUCCUAAAAAGAGAUUGGAAAUUGUGACCUAAAGAGAAAUGACUAAGAGGUGGGAAAAGGACAAAUCUGAGAUUAUUUGUGUCCUAACAGAAAUUUUUCCCCCAAUAUCUUGAACUUUUACUAUCUUAUGAUUAUUGUACUUAACGUGGAAGCUUAGUGUAGGGAAAACUCAAUCAAAUGCCAAAAUCUUGGCUCUAAUCAUUGUGUAGGUCAUUCUUAUUCUUAUACUUGCUCAAAUAGUUGAGCUACAUUUUAAUGCUUAAAUUCUUGGUAGAGCCCUUCCCCUUUCUUUCUUUUUUUUUGUUAGUUUUUAAAAUUUGUUUUAAUUAGUUAUAUAUGACAGUAUAAUUCACUUAUGUACUUUGAUGUAUCAUACAUAGAUGGGGUAUAAUUUUUCAUUUUUCUGAAUGUACAUGUUGUAGAAUCACAUCGGUUUUGCAGUCAUAUAUGUACAUAAGGUAAUAAUGUCUGUUUCAUUCUACUAUCAUUCCUAUCACCAUAUCCUCUCCUUUUCCUUCCCCUUCUUUAACUUCCCUCUACCUAAUCUAUGGUAACUAUUCUUCCCUAGUGCCCCCCCCCACUUAUUGUGAAUUAGUAUCUGCUUACCAGGAAAGAAAACAUUCGGCCUUUGAUUUUUGGGGAUCCGCUUAUUUUGCUUAGCAUGAUAUUCUCCAAUUCCACCCAUUUACCUGCAGAUGCCAUAAUUUUUUUUCUUUUAAUGCUGAAUAAUAUUACAUUGUGUACAUAUACCACAGUUUCUUUAUCCAUUCAUCUAUUUAAGGGCAUCUAGGUUGGUUCCAUAGUUUAGCUAUUGUGAAUUGUGCUGCUAUAAAGAUUGUCGUGGCUGUGUCACUAUAAUAUGCUGAUUUUAAGACUUUUGGGUAUAGACCAAGGAGUGGGAUAUGGGGGUCAUUAAUGGUUUCAUUCCGAGUUUUCUGAGGACUAUAUCCACGUUAUAUAUCGCUGCAGAUCUUUUAGCAUAUGCACCCAGUCAUUAAUACCACAGUGCUAACUACCUACAACUUUCAAGGUGUAAUAGUGAAAUCAUGACCUCUUAAGUAUUUUCAUAAUGUCCUAAAUCUUGUUCACAUAUUGAAAAUAAAGAAUAGAUAGAUAAACCAUUUAUUGACAUAGCAAAGGAAUCCUGGAUUAUUUUCUUU